GAUGAACGCUGGCGGCGUGCCUAAUACAUGCAAGUCGAACGGAAAGACGAGGAGCUUGUGCCUUUGACGUUAGCGGAGGGCGGGUGAGUAACACGUGGAUCCCGUCCUUAUAAGACUGGGAAAACUUCGGGACACCGGCGCAAAUAGCGGAGAAUCUAUUGAACCGCGGGGGGCAAUAGAAAAAGUCGGUUUUGGUGUAACGACUAGCUGCAUCCGGGCCGCAUUGGCUAGUUGGUAAGGUAACGGCUUACCAAGGCAACGAUGCGUGGCCGACCUGAUAGGGUGAUCGGCCACACUGGAACGGAGACACGGUCCAGACUCCUACGGGAGGCAGCAGUAGGGAAUGUGCCGCAAUGGUCGAAAGCCUGACGGAGCAACGCCGCGUGAGUUAUGAAGGCCUUCGGAUCGUAAAGCCCUGUUUUUGGUUAAGAACAACUGUGGAAUUAACCGAGGCCUUCUUGACGGUACCUAAUCAGAAAGCCACGGCUAACUACGUG
rnacentral:rRNA from 1 species